rnacentral:rRNA from 1 species
UGCAAGUCGCGCGACAAGCCAUUUUUAGCUUGCUAUUGAUGGUGGAGGAGCGGCGUAAGGGAGAGUAACGGGUGGAUUAUCUGCCCUCAGGUCUGGGAUAGCCACGGGAAACUGUGGGUAAUACCGGAUAACAUCUGCGGAUCAAAGGUGUGAUUCCGCCUGAGGAUGAGUCCGCCUCCUAUUAGCUUGUUGGUGGGGUAAUGGCCUACCAAGGCUACGAUGGGUACCGGGUGUGAGAGCAUGGCCCGGCUCACUGGGACUGAAACACUGCCCAGACACCUACGGGUGGCUGCAGUCGAGAAUCUUCGGCAAUGGGCGCAGGCCUGACCGAGCGAUGCCGCGUGCGGGAUGAAGGCCUUCGGGUUGUAAACCGCUGUCAGUAGGGAGGAAAUGUAUGGGGGUCAUCCCCCAUGCUUGACCUAUCUUCAGAGGAAGGACGGGCUAAGUUCGUGCCAGCAGCCGCGGUAAGACGAACCGUCCAAACGUUAUUCGGAAUUACUGGGCUUAAAGGGUGCGUAGGCGGCGCGGUCAGUCGGAUGUGAAAUCGUACAGCUCAACUGUACAACUGCGUCCGAAACUACCGUGCUUGAGGAAGGCAGAGGUGAGCGGAACUCAGGGUGGAGCGGUGAAAUGCGUUGAUAUCCUGGGGAACACCGGUGGCGAAGGCGGCUCACUGGGCCUUUUCUGACGCUGAGGCACGAAAGCUAGGGUAGCGAACAGGAUUAGAUACCCUGGUAGUCCUAGCUGUAAACGAUGAGCACUAGGUUGA